CCUACGGGGCGCAGCAGUGGGGAAUAUUGCACAAUGGGCGCAAGCCUGAUGCAGCCAUGCCGCGUGUGUGAAGAAGGCCUUCGGGUUGUAAAGCACUUUCAGCGGGGAGGAAGGCGGUGAGGUUAAUAACCUCAUCGAUUGACGUUACCCGCAGAAGAAGCACCGGCUAACUCCGUGCCAGCAGCCGCGGUAAUACGGAGGGUGCAAGCGUUAAUCGGAAUUACGGGGCGUAAAGCGCACGCAGGCGGUCUGUCAAGUCGGAUGUGAAAUCCCCGGGCUCAACCUGGGAACUGCAUUCGAAACUGGCAGGCUAGAGUCUUGUAGAGGGGGGUAGAAUUCCAGGUGUAGCGGUGAAAUGCGUAGAGAUCUGGAGGAAUACCGGUGGCGAAGGCGGCCCCCUGGACAAAGACUGACGCUCAGGUGCGAAAGCGUGGGGAGCAAACAGGAUUAGAUACCCGAGUAGUC
rnacentral:rRNA from 1 species